rnacentral:tRNA from 1 species
GGAGAGGUGGCUGAGUGGACGAAAGCGGUUUCCUGCUAAGAAAUUGUGGGGUCAAAAGCUCCACCGUGGGUUCGAAUCCCACCCUCUCCG